rnacentral:rRNA from 1 species
GACUCUUAGCAGUGGAUCACUCUGCUCCAGCAUCUAUGAAGAAUGCCAUGAGAACUAAUGUGAAUUGCAGGAGGCAGUGACCAUUCACACUUCCUUUGCCCUGAGACUGUGGCGCUCAGUUUCCUCCAGUGGCUAGGCCUACCUGAGUGUGG